rnacentral:rRNA from 1 species
UACGAAGGGUGCAAGCGUUAAUCGGAAUUACUGGGCGUAAAGCGUGCGUAGGCGGUCUUUUAAGUCUGCUGUGAAAUCCCCGGGCUCAACCUGGGAAUGGCAGUGGAUACUGGGAGGCUAGAGUGUGUCAGAGGAUGGUGGAAUUCCCGGUGUAGCGGUGAAAUGCGUAGAGAUCGGGAAGAACAUCAGUGGCGAAGGCGGCCAUCUGGGACAACACUGACGCUGAGGAGCGAAAGCGUGGGGAGCGAACAGG